rnacentral:rRNA from 1 species
CCUACGGGAGGCAGCAGUGGGGAAUAUUGGACAAUGGGGGGAACCCUGAUCCAGCCAUGCCGCGUGUGUGAAGAAGGCCCUCGGGUUGUAAAGCACUUUCAGUGAGGAAGAACGCCUGGUGGUUAAUACCCAUCAGGAAAGACAUCACUCACAGAAGAAGCACCGGCUAACUCCGUGCCAGCAGCCGCGGUAAUACGGAGGGUGCGAGCGUUAAUCGGAAUUACUGGGCGUAAAGCGCGCGUAGGUGGCUUGAUAAGCCGGUUGUGAAAGCCCCGGGCUCAACCUGGGAACGGCAUCCGGAACUGUCAAGCUCGAGUGCAGGAGAGGAAGGUAGAAUUCCCGGUGUAGCGGUGAAAUGCGUAGAGAUCGGGAGGAAUACCAGUGGCGAAGGCGGCCUUCAGGACUGACACUGACACUGAGGUGCGAAAGCGUGGGUAGCCAACAGGAGUAGAUACCCCAGUAGUC